UACGUAGGGUGCGAGCGUUAAUCGGAAUUACUGGGCGUAAAGCGUGCGCAGGCGGUUCGUUAAGUCAGAUGUGAAAUCCCCGGGCUCAACCUGGGAACUGCAUUUGAAACUGCAUGGCUAGAGUAUCGAAGAGGGAAGUGGAAUUUCCGGUGUAGCGGUGAAAUGCGUAGAUAUCGGAAGGAACACCAGUGGCGAAAGCGACUUCCUGGUCGAAUACUGACGUUCAUGUUCGAAAGCGUGGGGAGCAAACAGG
rnacentral:rRNA from 1 species